CACCUUCUUCCAGAAAUUAGGCAGACUGCCGUGGUUUUUUGUUUGUUUGUUUGAAUGCUUUUCUUCUACAUACUGGACAGCUGUUAAACUCAUCAGAUUUCAAAAAAAUUUAGUAUGGUUCAUUACAGCAGUAAGUAAUUACUCAUUAAUUGUGGCAAUAAGUGAAACUGAUCACAAGCAUGCUUAAAGAGAGUAUGUUGUUAACGUAGGAGAUCUGGAAGUUCAAAAAACAUCACCUUAUUCUGCUUCUCUCCCUGGUUUUAUGGAUAGCAUGGUAGUUUCCAUCCUCAUCUGUACCCUCCACUGAUCUCUGCUUAUUUUUCUGUUAAUGGUGGUUAUUUCCAUUGUUUGCUGGUGUCCUCUGUCAGUGUUGCCACUUGGUUUUCCUGCUGUGCCCAGGUGGUAACACCAAGGGGUGUUUCGGGCUGCUAUGUGUGAUAAGGCAAUCCCUGCAGAAUUCAUUUCAUACUCUCUGUUUAUACGUAUUACAUGGUAGUUGUUGGAAACAUUUGAAAUAACUUAAUCUUUACGGUCUGUUUCAUUGUUUUUAUGAGGUACAGUCUCUGUUCAGAGAAAAAGAAAGAUCAAGAAACUAAAUUUGAACUGGGUCUUUGAGGUUCAGAAAGCAGCAUAAAAUGUCACCAAUGUUACAACCCACUUCCCCUCAUACCCCUGUUUUUGCAAAACAGCUCUUCUGCACUGUGCAAUGAAUGCCUGCCUCUAACCCCAAACAUGGCCUUUUCUGUUUGGUGUCUGUCUUGAACCAGACACUAUCCAGAUGUGGACUAUCACAGUUUCAGCAAGCUGUAAAACAAAAGAAAAGGAAAAAAAUUCUGUGGAAGUGGACAAGUUUUGCUGGUCGUAUUAAACUCACUGUCAACACUUAACAAUAUCAGACUGCAGCUCUGGAUAAAACUUUUCCUCUUGGUUUGGAUGGGCUGUACAAAAAAAAAAAAAAAAGUGUGAAGAUGUGGUUUUGUCCCCCAGUGACAGCUGUGAUCGCUGAAACACUGAAAACUGAAGUGGCUUGUCCAGAGUUUGUGUUGGGAACAGAAUGCUACGUGGUUUGACUUCAUAAAUAUUACCAUGUCUUCGGAAUAUUUUUCCCAAGCAGGGGGUGUUUGCUGUGUUGUUGGUGUAUUUGUUGCCAUUUUGCUUGCUUUAAAUAAGCAUAAAUUAAGGUUGGAGUAAAAUCCUGAUCGUGCCAACACACGUGAGUUCUUUUGUCAUUGACUGCAGGAGGCUGAAAUCUCACUGUUUACUCCUGUGCGCACGUCACUGAUGUUCAAACUAGGCAGAAGAUGGUUUAUUGUUUGAAGGAACCAUGUGGCCUAUCUUGCAGGUUUUAUUUUUCAAGGCAGUGAUCUUAACCAGACCCGCAGUCACAGCACUGAUGCUGCGCAGGAGGAAACCUAGUAGUACAGCACUUGGCAAUUCACAAGGCCAUAGCCUGUGUAUUCUGUAAUGGAUGGGAACUGUCCUACACAUCUUGCUUUAUGGAGAUACAAUGGGAUGAGGAGAGGGAUUGCAUCAUCUGCCUGUAUUUCACAGCUUGUGCAGCAGGGGAAAGGAAUGGAAUAAAUCAACAUGUUGCUUUUAUCAAAUAAACCUUUGUGAUGUGGCCUGGUCAGAAGAAUUUUAUAUUCCCUUUAUCUAAGCCGUCUGUAAAGAAUGUCUCAUCCCCUUUUUCCUCUCAAGGAUUUUUUUUUAAGGCAUUCCAAAUCACUUUAUCAGAACAAGUGAUAAAGGAAGAAGCUGUUUUCAACAGUUUGCAAGACUUAGAGCUGAGAGUAUCUAACAUCUUACAUGAAGUAAUUUGAAAGCCUCCUCAAUCUGAAAUUGCAGCAGGGCCUCUCUUUCUUCUGUAAGUGCUGUCCCAAACACAGCCUCUCUUCCUGUACUGUAAUGUGGACUCAGAGAAGGGAGAGAUUCUGCCCCAGUGCUACCCAGAGCUGAGGGGGCGAGAGGGGUGUAAGAAGCUAUUUGUGGUAGCAAGGGCAGCUGUUUGAGAAAAAUCUAGGGGCUGGAGGUCAGGUUUUAGCAGGCAAAAGUAUUUUCAGCUCUUCUGAUGUCAUUAAGCAUGGAGCAGUGACUACUUUUUUCAGAUUUCACCAAGGAUUGCCUCAUCCUACUCAUAUCUUACUGCUGUUUUUCAGUAUUUCUUUAAAAUGUGGUUGGAUUUUUUUCUUCCAGGAGGAAAAUGUACAGUAAAAAGGAAAGUUCUGCUUGACUUUUGAGACUGCCCUGACUGCUGUCAGGAUACAUACUGUAUGUUAAAUGCAGUUAGAUCCUUUUGAUCCCUUUUUAGUGAAAUCUCUCAUUGGCUUUCCAGAUGACAAGAUCAGGGAUAAGUUUUGUUGUUGCUGGGUUUUGUUCCCCCGUUAGGCAGACUGAUGCAUAUUAGCUAAAGAUCCUAAAUCAAAAAGCAAAAAACUCCUGUCAAUCCUUUAAGCUUGAAAAUGCAUUCAGAUAUUGGAGGAUGAGUAGGUAUGGAAUUGUUUAAUCUCUCAGAGCUGCUUCUGGAUCAAACAGUUCCUUCUGCAGACCUUACAAGAGGCUGUAUUUUAAAGAGAGGUUGCUGUAGUGCUUCUGCCCUCACCCAGAUCACUGCUGAAGCUAAGUGGGGGUUAAAGUGGGGGGACCUAUGGAAAGUCACAUCCAUGGCAAAGGGGAAUGAAACCACUGUCUGCCACGAGACAGAUACCCGUUGUUGCUGCUAAGUGCUAGAUGGCUGUCUGCUGUGCUGCUGGGCAGUAAUGGAAGGAACCUGGCUAUGCAAAUGGUCAGCAUCUUUUUUUUUUUUCUCUUCAUUAUAGCCCAGGAGAUCUUAAAGGGCAAUGAAAAUUGAACUGCACUUAUGACUGAGAAAAAAUGGGAUUAGAAAAACCUUCUGUGGAAAUCCCUUUCUUUGAGUGGUUCUAGGUACUGAAGGAUUCAACUCUGAGUCGCUCAUAUUCUUGUCAACGUUUGGUAACCCAUUAACAUCUGCAGGCUGAGGUUUGGAGGUCUCUGUUCUGGUUUUGAUUUUGAUUUACUAAGGAAAUUGCUUUGUGUUGUAAUUGGAAUUUCACGUUUGAAGUGUUUCUUAAAAACACAGUUCUAUGUAGGGUUAAUAUUUAUAAUUUGUUUAAAAGUCCUUACAUGUGUUAUUAAAUAAGAGCUUUAAAAGAUUAAAGCCAACGGUUUCACACAGUGAAUUUAAUUGUAGCUUUUGUGGCUUUUUUUCAGUUUUGCUUUUGUACUUCACAGCCUGGCUAACAAGAAUUAGGUAUAUUUUUCUUUUCUGAUAAGCAAUUGCAUGUUGCUUGUUUGGGACACAAUUUUUUUUUGCUUUAGAAGUUGUCUUGCCAUUUUUUGCAGGAGUAAUCUUUUCACCUUCCUCUACCUUGUUGCAAACUAUGUUUCAGGGGCCAAUUUAACUUGACAGUGUUAUUUUAGAUGUAGGCUUUGUUAAAUAUCUACAAUUAAAGUCAUUCAUGUAAGUGAGAAGUUUUCUUGAGAAUUUGGCUUUCAGUACCAGAGAUGCCGGAAAAGAGCACCAGAGGUUUUACUGUGUUGGAAGAACACUGAAGUGCCAGCAAAGAGGAAGAUACCUUCACAUAAAAUAAUAAUGCUAGCAAAAAAAACAAUACUUGCAGCAGUAUCCUUCGGAUUUGGUUCACUUUGCUAAGAAGGGAAGUGUUUACUUGAGAAAGCAUCUGGAUUUUAUUGUUUUCUAAUUCAUUGUGGACAGCCUGAUGGAGUCUGGAACCAGUUAGAAUGUCACAACUUUUCAUUGUCAUAUGCAAUGUGGAAACGAAAUAAAGAGAGAUCCAACUUGCAGACUGUGUUGCCUGACCUCCUAAGUUUGUUAUGCUCUUCCUUCAAGAAAAAAAAAUCCCUCUUGGAACAAAUACAAAUGUAUAGCGAUGGCCCUUGAAAUGCUUCUUUGUUCCUCUGAACAAUCCUGAGUAAGCUUUGGUCAGGUUUCUCUGGACAAGAGAAAUGUGACCAAACCUGGAUAAAAGAAGAUUCAGUAGAACCCAGGAUGCCCAGUGUUCCUGUUCUUGUGAAGGCAAGCGAAAAGAUAAACAUCUAUGGAUCAUCUGAGACUGUGUUCACACUGUUUUUUCCACUUGGUUCUGGUCAUUUCUGCCUACUCUGAGAAAUGAUGCCCCAUUGAAGUUUACUCAUCUGCAUGAUUGGCCCA